rnacentral:lncRNA from 1 species
UAUUGUGGGUUGAAAACCCUAUAUGCUCACCAGGCUCCCAAGCCUGACCCACUCAGUUUUAAAUUGUAUUACAGGUAGUGGCGGAAGGGCAUGAGAUGGAUGAACCAUCAAGUUGUUUUGUUUACAAGUCUGCAUAUGUUUAUAUUUGUUAUAUGACUUGUAAUGUAUUCGUUUAUGCUUAUUGGUCUGUAUCGGAACAUGACACCCCGAGUUUUGAUUAUAAUGAAAAUACAUUUCUUUUAUGAAAUGCUUCGGUAAACAAUGUUUUAUCAUGUUUUGUUUUUGGGAACAAAUUCCGCAACUCUUUCAAAUCAAAAGGAUUUACUCUGAAAAUAUUUAAAAGCAUAAAUGAAAAUCGGUCUUUUCUGGCCGAGAUUUUGGGGAUGUCACAGUUGGUAUCAGAGCAUUAGUUUAAGCGAACUAGGAAUUUGUAGGAUUUCUAGACUUAAACUUAGAAUGCUAAGUGAAGUUUUGAGAUGUGUGUCUGUUGUGAUUUAGACACGAGCACUAGUUUAUUUUAGGAAAGUUGCCUAAAAUGCUUUAUGUGCUAAAUGUUAUAUGUUGCCAUAUAUGAUAUUAUUUGUUCGGAUCUAUGGUCUGUUGCCGACCGGAUCUAGAAACCUUAUGUGUGUAGGAUUCUAAGCGUACGUCUACGAUAUUAGAACUAGCAUGUAAACGUUUCGGAGUGAUAAGGAUGAUUUGAAUAUCUAUCAUGAUUGAGGAUCUAAUUUCACCUUAUUCGGUGUAGAUCAAAAUGGUGAGAACAAGAAGUGGAGUUGGAAAUGCUGACGAAAACAGGAAUCAACCACCAGUGAUUGAGCCAAUACCUGUCGUAGCAGCAGCACCUGAGCCAAUAACCAUGGCUGGUGUGCAAUUGAUGAUUCAGACGAUGUUGGAUCGUCAGAUGGAUGAAACUAGACGGUUGCUUCAACAAAAUCGUGAAGAACUGUCGAUUCGUGUGGAAGAGCCUGAACUGAAUGAAGGGCACUCGGAAGGUGGAAACUUCAGUGGGUCUGUUGGUCCAGCCAACCCACCGAUAGUUAGGCAAGAUAACCAUGAUGGAAGGAAUGAUGGAAUGGGAUGCAAGUACAAGGACUUUUUGACUUGUAAACCAUCGACCUUCAAUGGAAAGGAGGAUCCGAUUGGGGUUAUGGAUUGGAUCUCCGAAAUGGAGUUAGCCUUUAUGACAUGUGGCUGUAGAGGCAAGUUGCAGACUAUCUAUGCCGUGCGACAAUUCCGAGGUGGAGCCGUUCGUUGGUGGAACACUCUAGGGAAGACCUUAAGCCCUAAUGAGCCACUGCAAUUGUCAUGGGCAGAGUUCUUGGUGCAGUUCAAGCGCAAGUUCUGCUCGGCUCAAAAUCUGUUGGAGUUGGAGAACAAGUUUUUGACAUUGACGAAGGGUAGCAUGUCAGUGGAUGAGUACACCAAUAACUUCACCGAUAAGAUGGAGUUUGCCUUGCGUAUCGUUCCAGACGAGCUGACAAAGGUGGAUCGGUAUGCGAAGGGACUUCCAUGGGAGUACGAGGUGCCGGUACGUCAGGCACUUACUCUAGAGGCAGCUAUCUGGGCUGCCAAGUCUGUGGAGAACAUGAUCAAGGGGAGAACCACCGUCAAGGUUGAGGUUGGUGAGAAAAGGAAGUUUGAAGGAACAUCUGGUUCCAGUAAGAAGAGCAAAUUUUCGAAAUCUGAUUCGAAAAAGUUUGGAGGAAAAGGAGGCGAAGCAAAGUGGUGUGAUAAGUGUAAGAAAAAGCACUUUGGGAAAUGUAGCGAGGAUGUGACCUGCUACAAGUGUGGAAAGGUUGGACAUUUUGCCAAUGAAUGUCCGAACAACAAAAGGAUGUGUUUUGGGUGUAAUGAAGAGGGGCAUAUUUUGAAAGACUGUCCGAAGAAGAAGGAGGCAGCUAGGCCCAACAUUCCACCAAAGCCGAAGGCGAGAGCCUUCCAGAUGACACUUGAGGCUGCGAAAGAUGAAGCUGAUGUCGCUUCAGGUACCUUUCUCGUAAACGAAUUACCUGCUCAUAUAUUGUUUGAUUCUGGAGCCAACUACUCCUUUAUUUCGCAUGAGUUUGGUAGAAAGCUAGCUUUGCCUGUUGAUAGACUAGAUAAUGCUUUAUUAGUCGAAGUAGCUAGUGGCAAGUUUGUACCUGUUAGCCAUCGUAUGAAAAACGUCUUGAUCGACCUUAAUGGGAAUAAGUUUCUCGAGGAAUUAUUGCCUAUCGAACUAAAUGGUUUCGACAUCGUCUUGGGAAUGGAUUGGCUUAGCGCCAAUGAUGCCGAAAUUUUGUGCAAGAAGAAGAUAGUUAAAGUAAACCCGCCUGGGAAAGAUUCGUUUAUGGUGUAUGGGGACAAACGCAGAGUGAAUUCUGGAAUCAUUUCUCUAAUGAAAGCCAGAAAGUGUUUGACCAAGGGAUGUACAUCAUAUUUAGCAUUCGUGAUUGAUGCUAAGAAAGAAAAGAAGGUGAUGCAGAGCAUUCCAGUGGUGUGUGAUUAUCCGGAAGUAUUUCCCGAGGAUCUUCCUGGAUUACCACCUGAUAGACAAGUGGAGUUCAGAAUAGACUUGUUACCAGGAACCACGCCAAUAGCAAAAGCACCUUAUCGAUUAGCACCGACGGAGAUGAAGGAGCUGAUGAUGCAACUUCAGGAGUUAUUGGACAAAGGUUUCAUUAGACCUAGUUCAUCGCCCUGGGGAGCUCCGGUGUUAUUUGUAAAGAAGAAAGAUGGAAGUAUGAGAAUGUGCAUCGAUUACAGAGAGCUGAACAAGGCAACAAUAAAGAAUAGAUAUCCGUUGCCGAGGAUUGAUGACCUGUUUGAUCAAUUGCAAGGUUCGAGCUAUUUCUCGAAGAUCGAUCUUAGGUCAGGAUAUCAUCAGCUGAAAGUAAGAGAGCAAGAUAUCGAGAAGACUGCAUUCAGAACUAGAUAUGGACACUACGAGUUCUUGGUUAUGUCGUUUGGACUAACCAAUGCUCCAGCAGCGUUCAUGGAUUUGAUGAAUAGGGUUUGUAAUCCUUUCCUUGAUAAAUCCGUGAUAGUGUUCAUAGACGACAUUCUGAUCUACUCGAAAAGCCAGGAGGAGCAUGGCAGACACUUGCGAGAAGUGUUAGAAGUUUUGAAGAAGGAGAAGCUUUAUGCGAAGUUCUCCAAAUGUGAUUUUUGGAUUCGUGAGGUCCAAUUCUUGGGUCACGUGGUCAACCAAGAAGGGAUAAUGGUUGAUCCAGCGAAGAUCGAAGCUGUGACGAAGUGGGAACAACCGAAAAGUCCCACGGAGAUUCGAAGCUUUUUAGGAUUAGCCGGAUAUUACCGAAGGUUUAUCCAAGGCUUUUCUUCGAUUGCUACUCCAUUAACAGCUUUGACCCACAAAGGAGCUACUUAUGCUUGGAGUGAGAAGCAUAAAGAAGCAUUCGAGAAGUUAAAGAAGAAGCUAUGCGAGGCACCGAUACUUUCUCUACCCGAUGGAGUUGAAGACUUCGCUGUUUAUAGCGAUGCGUCUGGUGUUGGAUUGGGUUGUGUUUUGACCCAAAGAGAAAAGGUGAUAGCAUAUGCGUCUCGACAGCUGAAAGAGCAUGAAAAGAAUUACCCGACUCAUGAUUUGGAGUUGGCAGCGGUAGUUUUCGCUCUGAAAAUAUGGAGGCAUUACCUCUAUGGCACGAAGUGCAAACUUUUCACUGAUCAUAAGAGUCUCCAAUACCUCUUUAAUCAGAAAGAAUUGAAUAUGAGGCAACGACGCUGGCUAGAAUUACUUAAAGACUACGACUGCGAGAUACUUUACCACCCCGGUAAAGCUAAUGUUGUUGCUGAUGCUCUCAGUCGGAAAGUCAAUCUUGAAAGGAAGAGGCCAAGAGCGUUGAGAAUUGAAGUUGUCUCGACUAUUGUGGAAAGUAUAAAGAAAGCUCAAGAGGAAGCUUCUGAGAAAAAUGACCGAAAGGAGGAACGUUUGGGUAAAACGUUGGUGUUUGGUACUAACGGUCAUGGACUGAAGGUAUUCCAAGAUCGUAUUUGGGUACCUAAGUCAGGAGGAAUUAGGGAUCUUCUGAUGGAAGAAGCUCACAAAACCAUGUACUCAAUUCAUCCGGGUAGCACUAAAAUGUAUAGGGACCUGAAACCCUACUACUGGUGGCCGACGAUGAAGCUUGAUGUUGCAAAGUAUGUGGCCGAGUGUGUGACUUGUGCGAGAGUCAAGACACAACAUCAGAAACCUUACGGGAGUUUAGAACCAUUGCCUGUGCCUAUGGGUAAGUGGGAAGACAUUGCUAUGGAUUUUGUCACUAAACUGCCCAGAACAAAGAAUGGUCACGACAUGAUUUGGGUGGUCGUUGAUCGAUUCACUAAGAGUGCGCAUUUCAUAGCGGCCAGGGAGAAAUGGUCUAUGGAAAAGCUUGCGAAUUCUUACGUGAAGGAAAUUGUGAGGCUUCACGGUGUUCCGUUAACGAUUGUAUCGGAUCGUGAUAGCCGUUUCACCUCAAGGUUUUGGAAAAGUCUACAAGAGGAAAUGGGUACCAAGUUAUGUUUAAGCACAGCUUACCAUCCGCAGACUGAUGGUCAGAGUGAAAGAACAAUACAAACACUUGAAGAUAUGCUGAGAGCAUGUACCUUGGAAUUCCUAGGUAAUUGGGAUGAACAUUUACCGUUGGUAGAAUUUUCCUAUAAUAAUAGUUUUCACUCGAGCAUUAAGAUGGCACCUUAUCAAGCUUUGUAUGGACAGAAGUGUCGUACGCCGUCUUGUUGGCUUGAGGCUGGGGAAAAGCAGUUUAUGGGACCGGAGAUGGUUCAUCAAACUGCUGAAAAGUUGAAAAUAAUUAGGGAAAGAAUGUUAGCAGCUCAAGAUCGUCAAAAGAGCUAUGCUGACAAGAAGCGAAGACCGAUGACUUUUGAGGUUGGAGAUUCGGUUUUGCUUAAAGUCUCGCCGUGGAAGGGACUUAUAAGAUUUGGUAAAAGGGGAAAGUUGAGUCCAAGGUUUAUUGGACCGUUUAAAGUCCUUCAGAGGAUUGGGAAUCAAGCUUACAAGCUCGAAUUACCCGAAGAACUGAAUGGAAUUCACAACACCUUUCAUGUGUGUUAUUUGAGGAAGUUCACGGGAGAAGUUCCCGAUAUAAUUCCAAUUUCUGAAUUGAGAAUUGAUGAGAACAAAAGGUUGAUUGAAGAACCAGAGGCAAUUGUUGACCGAAAGACUAAGAAGUUGCGACGCAAAAUGGUUGGGUUAGUGCUUGUCCGAUGGAAACACACGAAUGGGCCGAAUCUCACCUGGGAGACGGAGAGUGACAUGUUGAGUCGCUAUCCGCAUUUGUUUGUUGAUGUGUGAUUCCGGGGACGGAAUCAUUCUAAGGUGGAGAGAAUUGUAACGCCUGUGUUUCCGGGCUUGCCAUUUUUAGCAAUGUAAUAGUCUAGGUUAACCUUUGUAACCCGUUUUGAAAUAAUAAGAUUGUAUUAUUUGAGUAUUAUGUGUUUUGUGCUUAAUUGCUUAAUUAUGUGGUUUGAUUAAUUAAGAAUAAAAAUAAGCGUCAAAAUUUAAGUGUAAAAUAAACUUAAUAUCUUUGGUUAAUGUUGUAGUAGUUGAAACGAGGUUUCCGAAUAUAUAUAGAACGCCCAAAUCUGACUUCGUAUGAGGAAGUUAUGAUUUAUCGAAGUUCCGGCUUAGCGAUAUACAGCCUGUUUUACUCGAUUUGAGAUCGAGCGGUUGUUAGCCGAAGCAAUCUAAAUGAGAAUCGAAGAUCUCAUUGUUGGUAUUGAAACGAUAAAAAGUUAGGCGAGAACGGACGUCAAACGAAGAAGUUAUGAAUUUAUAACGAAAGUUUCUGUCCCGGCCUAUUAAAAAUAAUUAAUAAAAAUAAAGUCAAAAUUAGCCGACGGAGUCUAAACGAAAGUCGUAGAGCGUGGUCUCACCUUCGCGUGGAUAUAAAGAACGUCGAAAACGGAGUUCGUAUGAAGAAGUUAUGAAUUUCCGAAGUUUAUUAAUCAUUUUGUAUUUAUUUUUAAUUCAAAAUUCGGAAGCAUUAUCCGAAGGAGUCACCGAUCUGAUCCGAGGUACGCCCCGCGUACUCGAGUACGCCCCGCGUACUCCGAGGGAUGUCGACACUCGCACUCGAGCACUUCGGAUACGUAAGCAAUGACGUUUUGGGCAGUACGCCCCGCGUAACGCAGUACGCCCCGCGUACUCCGAGGCUCCAGCCUCCUAUAAAUAGGAUGCGAGGGUUCCGGGUAUUUUUGCCAAUUCCCUCUCGUUUUCGUGUCGAAGCUCUGUGCAAAAACCCCCGAAGCUACCCCGAAGUCCCGGUAUCAUACUCUAGCCCCGAGGCAAGUCCCGAGAUCCUGAAGAUCCCGAAAAGUGCGGUUCCCGAGUCGAAGCUCUGCCCGCGAGAAGUUCGAUUUUCGAGAAGAUCUUCCAGAUCUGCUGUGGAUUACUACUUCUAUAAGCCGUAGUGCUGUCCGAUCAUCUUCUGAUCAAGUGAGUGUGUAGUUAUUUCUUCUAAUACAAUAAUACGAAGUAUUUUAUAUAAAAAUACGUGCUAUGUGUAUAUAUUUGGUUGUGUUAUGUGUGAAUGAGUAUUCACUCUCUUCUAUCUUAUAGAUCUGCUUAUUUCUUUAUGAGAUAUGUGUUAUGUGUGUGUGUGCCUCAUCUGUUAUGUGAUAUAUGUGUUGAUUAAAGCAUGCUAUACAGGUUUUCUUUAAACUAUGUAUACAAAUGUAUAUUUUUAUCUACUAAUAUGUUGGGUAGAACAUGGGUAGACAGUUGGUGUGUAAUAAACAGAUGAGAGGCCUCGUUGUUGUUUGAUUGAGUCAUCUAGCGGAGUUUAGAUGACGACCACUGGCUAUUCUAGACAGUCUUGUGGAAACAUUAGCAGGUUCGCCACCUGUAGGUGUUAAUGAACUUGGGUGUUCAUUCGCUGUACUCCAUCCCCCUCAUGGUUGCCUUAUUUGACUUAUAUUGCUGAGGUACCCCCGAAGCAUGUGUUGUCGCCCCGAUGAAAUAUUCUUAGACUAGGUCCCUUAUGUUAGUUGUUUUAGGGACAUUAAAGUGAGAAUAACGGGAAUGGGUAAUUGGGUUAUUGUUGGUUGGUGAAAAUUAAAUAUGAUAUUUAUUGUGGGUUGAAAACCCUAUAUGCUCACCAGGCUCCCAAGCCUGACCCACUCAGUUUUAAAUUGUAUUACAGGUAGUGGCGGAAGGGCAUGAGAUGGAUGAACCAUCAAGUUGUUUUGUUUACAAGUCUGCAUAUGUUUAUAUUUGUUAUAUGACUUGUAAUGUAUUCGUUUAUGCUUAUUGGUCUGUAUCGGAACAUGACACCCCGAGUUUUGAUUAUAAUGAAAAUACAUUUCUUUUAUGAAAUGCUUCGUUAAACGAUGUUUUAUCAUGUUUUGUUUUUGGGAACAAAUUCCGCAACUCUUUCAAAUCAAAAGGAUUUACUCUGAAAAUAUUUAAAAGCAUAAAUGAAAAUCGGUCUUUUCUGGCCGAGAUUUUGGGGAUGUUACAC